rnacentral:rRNA from 1 species
AUACGGAGGAUGCGAGCGUUAUCCGGAUUUAUUGGGUUUAAAGGGAGCGUAGAUGGAUGUUUAAGUCAGUUGUGAAAGUUUGCGGCUCAACCGUAAAAUUGCAGUUGAUACUGGAUAUCUUGAGUGCAGUUGAGGCAGGCGGAAUUCGUGGGGUUGCGGUGAAAUGCUUAGAUAUCACGAAGAACUCCGAUCGCGAAGGCAGCUCACCGGGCCGGAACUGACACUGAUGCUCGAAAGUGCGGGUAUCAAACAGGAUUAGAUACCCUGGUAGUCCGCACAGUAAACGAUGAAUACUCGCUGUUUGCGAUACACUGUAAGCGGCCAAGCGAAAGCGUUAAGUAUUCCACCUGGGGAGUACGCCGGCAACGGUGAAACUUAAAGGAAUUGACGGGG